GAACGCUGGCGGCGUGCCUAAUACAUGCAAGUCGAACGAACUCUGGUAUUGAUUGGUGCUUGCAUCAUGAUUUACAUUUGAGUGAGUGGCGAACUGGUGAGUAACACGUGGGAAACCUGCCCAGAAGCGGGGGAUAACACCUGGAAACAGAUGCUAAUACCGCAUAACAACUUGGACCGCAUGGUCCGAGUUUGAAAGAUGGCUUCGGCUAUCACUUUUGGAUGGUCCCGCGGCGUAUUAGCUAGAUGGUGAGGUAACGGCUCACCAUGGCAAUGAUACGUAGCCGACCUGAGAGGGUAAUCGGCCACAUUGGGACUGAGACACGGCCCAAACUCCUACGGGAGGCAGCAGUAGGGAAUCUUCCACAAUGGACGAAAGUCUGAUGGAGCAACGCCGCGUGAGUGAAGAAGGGUUUCGGCUCGUAAAACUCUGUUGUUAAAGAAGAACAUAUCUGAGAGUAACUGUUCAGGUAUUGACGGUAUUUAACCAGAAAGCCACGGCUAACUACGUGCCAGCAGCCGCGGUAAUACGUAGGUGGCAAGCGUUGUCCGGAUUUAUUGGGCGUAAAGCGAGCGCAGGCGGUUUUUUAAGUCUGAUGUGAAAGCCUUCGGCUCAACCGAAGAAGUGCAUCGGAAACUGGGAAACUUGAGUGCAGAAGAGGACAGUGGAACUCCAUGUGUAGCGGUGAAAUGCGUAGAUAUAUGGAAGAACACCAGUGGCGAAGGCGGCUGUCUGGUCUGUAACUGACGCUGAGGCUCGAAAGUAUGGGUAGCAAACAGGAUUAGAUACCCUGGUAGUCCAUACCGUAAACGAUGAAUGCUAAGUGUUGGAGGGUUUCCGCCCUUCAGUGCUGCAGCUAACGCAUUAAGCAUUCCGCCUGGGGAGUACGGCCGCAAGGCUGAAACUCAAAGGAAUUGACGGGGGCCCGCACAAGCGGUGGAGCAUGUGGUUUAAUUCGAAGCUACGCGAAGAACCUUACCAGGUCUUGACAUACUAUGCAAAUCUAAGAGAUUAGACGUUCCCUUCGGGGACAUGGAUACAGGUGGUGCAUGGUUGUCGUCAGCUCGUGUCGUGAGAUGUUGGGUUAAGUCCCGCAACGAGCGCAACCCUUAUUAUCAGUUGCCAGCAUUAAGUUGGGCACUCUGGUGAGACUGCCGGUGACAAACCGGAGGAAGGUGGGGAUGACGUCAAAUCAUCAUGCCCCUUAUGACCUGGGCUACACACGUGCUACAAUGGAUGGUACAACGAGUUGCGAACUCGCGAGAGUAAGCUAAUCUCUUAAAGCCAUUCUCAGUUCGGAUUGUAGGCUGCAACUCGCCUACAUGAAGUCGGAAUCGCUAGUAAUCGCGGAUCAGCAUGCCGCGGUGAAUACGUUCCCGGGCCUUGUACACACCGCCCGUCACACCAUGAGAGUUUGUAACACCCAAAGUCGGUGGGGUAACCUUUUAGGAACCAGCCGCCUAAGGUGGGACAGAUGAUUAGGGUGAA
rnacentral:rRNA from 2 species